rnacentral:tRNA from 1 species
GACUCGGUAGCUCAGCCGGUAGAGCAACGGCCUUUUAAGCCGUGGGUCCUGGGUUCAAAUCCCAGCCGGGUCA